CUUGGCGGCUGGCGGCGUUCCGGGACUCUGAGGACGCCGUGACUUAAGAGCCGGAAGGUGAAGUCCGCCCAGGACGAGUACUUUCUGAAUCGGGGGAAGUGACUGUGUUUACAUAUUGUAACAUUUCAGAUGUCUAAUAAAACUUGCCCUCCUCCGGAACACUCAGGAAAAAAACUGAAGAUCCUUCUUGAAGAGACCAUGAAUAUAACUUUGAUGUGGGCUCCUCUAUUUUAAGACAGACUAUGUGAGACAAGGAUGAUUCCCUAGAGAGGACUGUGAGCAAGAACACAGAGCUGCGAACAGGAAUAUUUGGGAACAGAUAUUGGGUCCCCUGGAGAGAGGCUUCAGAUGAUGGGGACCUAAAGGCCAGAAGAAAGAAGAACGUGAUGAUGAGGAAGUGGGAGGGAGCAAGUGGUUUGAACAGACAUCUCACCAAAAAGGGAUAUGGAUAACAAAUAAGCAUGCAAAAGGAUGCCCAGUGUCAUUUGUCAUUAGGUAAAUGUAAAGUCAAACUGCAAUGAGAUACCACUACACAUCUAACAGAAUAGCUAAAAUUAAAAUAACUGACCAUAUCAAGUAUUAGGAAGGAUGUGGAAUUCUCAUCCACUGUAGGUAGAAAUAGAAGUGUUUCAGCCCUUUGGAAAAAAAAGCUGGACAGUUUCUUAAAAAAUAAAUACGCAUCUACUACAUGAGUUAGCCAUUCCACUCAAGAUAUUUACCCAAGAGAAAUGAAAAUAGACAACCAUAAAAAGAUUUGAAUACAAAUAUUCAUAGCAGUUUUAUCUAC